GUCCUUUCAGGAAGGUGCUUCCAGGUUCUUUGAAUGACUGAGGUGACCUUAACUGCUAUUGGGAACUUUAUUUAAUGUUGCAGUUGUUCUAUGACUAUGACAAAGAUGUUCCAUCAGAUUUCAACAUACCUGUUCUUAGAACUCAAAACUGGAGCCCUGUCCUGCUCAUGAAAAGAAAGGUGCUAUGGUUAAUGGACUGGGCUGGAAACAGGCAUGGUGGUAGAUUCUCAGGUAUGCUCAGACCAACGCCCUUAGCUCCACAAAGACACCAUCCCACAUUAAUUCUACAGGUUGCAGCUGCAUGCACUGGCUGAAGAAGUG
rnacentral:lncRNA from 1 species